UGGGGUAUUUUGGACAAUGGGGGAAACCCUGAUCCAGCCAUCCCGCGUGUGCGAUGAAGGCCUUCGGGUUGUAAAGCACUUUUGGCAGGAAAGAAACGUCAUGGGUUAAUACCCCGUGAAACUGACGGUACCUGCAGAAUAAGCACCGGCUAACUACGUGCCAGCAGCCGCGGUAAUACGUAGGGUGCAAGCGUUAAUCGGAAUUACUGGGCGUAAAGCGUGCGCAGGCGGUUCGGAAAGAAAGAUGUGAAAUCCCAGAGCUCAACUUUGGAACUGCAUUUUUAACUACCGGGCUAGAGUGUGUCAGAGGGAGGUGGAAUUCCGCGUGUAGCAGUGAAAUGCGUAGAUAUGCGGAGGAACACCGAUGGCGAAGGCAGCCUCCUGGGAUAACACUGACGCUCAUGCACGAAAGCGUGGGGAGCAAACAGG
rnacentral:rRNA from 1 species